UUCAUUAAGUUCAUUAAAUUA
rnacentral:piRNA from 1 species